rnacentral:rRNA from 1 species
CAGCAGCAGCCGCGGUAAUACGAGGGGGGCAAGCGUUAUCCGGAAUGAUUGGGCGUAAAGCGUCUGUAGGUGGCUUUUCAAGUCCGCCGUCAAAUCCCAGGGCUCAACCCUGGACAGGCGGUGGAAACUAUCAAGCUAGAGUACGGUAGGGGCAGAGGGAAUUUCCGGUGGAGCGGUGAAAUGCGUUGAGAUCGGAAAGAACACCAACGGCGAAAGCACUUUGCUGGGCCGACACUGACACUGAGAGACGAAAGCUAGGGGAGCAAAUGGGAUUAGAUACCCCUGUAGUCCCUGUCUCUUAUAC